CCUACGGGGGGCAGCAGUGAGGAAUAUUGGUCAAUGGGCGUAAGCCUGAACCAGCCAAGUCGCGUGAGGGAUGAAGGUUCUAUGGAUCGUAAACCUCUUUUAUAAGGGAAUAAAGUGUGGGACGUGUCCUAUUUUGUAUGUACCUUAUGAAUAAGGAUCGGCUAACUCCUUGCCAGCAGCGGCGUUAAUACGGAGGAUCCGAGCGUUUUCCGGAUUUAUUGGGUUUAAAGGGUGCGUAGGCGGCCUUUUAAGUAAGCGGUGAAAGUCUGUGGCUAAACCAUAGAAUUGCCGUUGAAACUGGGGGGCUUGAGUAUGUUUGAGGCAGGCGGAAUGCGUGGUGUAGCGGUGAAAUGCUUAGAUAUCACGCAGAACCCCGAUUGCGAAGGCAGCCUGCCAAGCCAUGACUGACGCUGAUGCACGAAAGUGUGGGGAUCAAACAGGAUUAGAUACCCGGGUAGUC
rnacentral:rRNA from 1 species